UGGCGGUGAAGGUGCACAUGGCCUUUUUGCAUUAGCUUGGAGGUGACAAGCCCUAGCUCCCUGAAAAUCGAACAAGGUCACAGUCACCGUAAGGAACAAACGUGCUAGUAUUUAACAGAAGUGCUCAUGAAACAAAUGAUGCCUUGCCAAGGAGGUGAGGGUAUGAAGAUGAAUAGCAUAUGGAUCCUGUCUUCAUGAUCUUGACAUCCGGUGUGGGAAGCAGACAUGUAACAGAUAAAUGCAGCGUGUCGUGGUUGGUGAAAGAGAAGCCUUGGUACAGAGUUGCAGGAAAACCCAGAGGAAGGGAGUUCAGUCCAGCCCGGGGGCUUCAAGGAAGAUUUCCUAUAGGACAAUAUGCUUGAGCUGUCUUGCUGGAUGAGUAAGAGUUAGGCUGAAGAAAGCUGGAAGGGCACACCAAACAGGAGAUAUCAUGAGCAAAGACAAGGAUAUGACAUCUCAUUCGCUAAUUCAUCUAAGGAACAUUCUUGCUGGCCUACUGUGUGCCAGAUAUGUGGCAGCAAACCAAGCCCCUUUCCUUGCUUGUGGUCCAGUGGACACAGGACCUGCUAACUUGCAGCAUCAAGGGAGGACCCGGAACAGGGUGGGGAGUGGUGGCAGAGGAGGCUGAACAGGGUGGCGCUUUGUUUUACCUGAGAAUUGAGUUGAUACCCCACCUACUUCCGCCAAGGAUUUGAGGCAUUUAUAAAGAGCUAAGGAUUUGCCAAAUGGUGCUAUCAGUGGGCAGGAGUCCCAGACUCCUUCCUGAGAUGGGGGAUUCUUUGGCUUCCUCUAAAGUCUCUUGGUCACUGCAGGGAACUGACUGCUAACAGGGCUGCGGAAGUGAGGCUGCCCCUGGACCCUGGGCACUCCUAGAAAUCCCCUUGGGUUGAUUCAAGAAUUUGGGUUGUGAUGCAUGGCAAGGAAGAACCUGGCACAUGGUAAGAACAUUGUAAAUGCCUAUUGAAUGAAAACAUGAGGGAUUUGACUACAUCUGCAAAACGGAGGCAUGGCCAAUCCCUUUGAGCUUUGCCUUAAGACUAAGAAUGAGGAGCUUCCUGGAAAGUAGGAUGGGUCCUGUAUCAACACGUUGCUCCACUCAAGUCAAAGGAUAAAUAGCCAAAAAUAA